GGUGGGUGGGUGGGUGGAUGGAUAGAUAGAUAAAGUAGGUAGGUAGGUACUUAGCAGGUCAGGAAAGAGACAAAAAGAGAUUAUCAACCUCCAAGAUCAUUUGCCAAUUACUCUAAGGCACAAACAUUUUUUGAGAGCAAUGUAUCUUGCAUAUAGAACAAAGAAUAAGGACCAUUCCCAAAGGAGCAACAUGUACAAGUUUAUUUGGGGGAGAUUUUAGGGGCUUGUUUGGUUUUGGUUUUGGUUUGUUUUCCUAGGAUCCUUUCUAUUAAAAAAAAAAAAAAAAGAUUUCUCAAAAAAAUGACAAACAUGUCUGGCUACUAUUAACAUUGACUAUAUUAUAAAGUUCCUAAGCCCUGAUCAUAUUGGAAGCUCUGAGCUUCCAAAUCAGUUUUAUGUACUUGGGGUAGAUAAAUUACACAUUAGCCAUUACAUUUAAUUACCUGUAGUUAUUGCAUAUAAAACAUGAAGAGGUAGAGAAGUAAUAAGGAAGAGAAAAACCAAGCCAUAGCACCAAUGGCUUAAGUUACUAGCUUCAAAUUCAGAAUAAACCCAAAUAUCAGAAGUAAACGAAUCAAAGGCCAUUUUCCUGUGAAAGGAGGGGAAAAAAAAAAAAAACAGUAAGUAUAACAGGAAAAGAAUCAAAGA